rnacentral:rRNA from 1 species
GAUGAACGCUGGCGGCGUGCCUAAUACAUGCAAGUCGAGCGAACAGAUGAGGAGCUUGCUCCUCUGACGUUAGCGGCGGACGGGUGAGUAACACGUGGAUAACCUACCUAUAAGACUGGGAUAACUUCGGGAAACCGGAGCUAAUACCGGAUAAUAUAUUGAACCGCAUGGUUCAAUAGUGAAAGACGGUUUUGCUGUCACUUAUAGAUGGAUCCGCGCCGCAUUAGCUAGUUGGUAAGGUAACGGCUUACCAAGGCAACGAUGCGUAGCCGACCUGAGAGGGUGAUCGGCCACACUGGAACUGAGACACGGUCCAGACUCCUACGGGAGGCAGCAGUAGGGAAUCUUCCGCAAUGGGCGAAAGCCUGACGGAGCAACGCCGCGUGAGUGAUGAAGGUCUUCGGAUCGUAAAACUCUGUUAUUAGGGAAGAACAAAUGUGUAAGUAACUAUGCACGGCUUGACGGUACCUAAUCAGAAAGCAACGGCUAACUACGUG